AUUGAACGCUGGCGGCAGGCCUAACACAUGCAAGUCGAACGAGUGGCGGACGGGUGAGUAAUGUAUGGGAAACUGCCCGAUGGAGGGGGAUAACUACUGGAAACAGUAGCUCAUCCCGCAUACAAUCGGAGUGGCCCAGAUGGGCUUAGCUAGUAGGUGGGGUAACGGCUGACCUAGGCGACGAUCCCUAGCUGGUGUGAGAGGAUGACGAGCCACACUGUAACUGCGACACGGUCCAGACUCCUACGGGAGGCAGCAGUGGGGAAUAUUGCACAAUGGGCGCAAGCCUGAUGCAGCCAUGCCGCGUGUAUGAAGAAGGCCUUCGGGUUGUAAAGUACUUUCAGCGAGGAGGCGUUACUCGCAGAAGAAGCACCGGCUAACUCCGUGCCAGCAGCCGCGGUAAUUC
rnacentral:rRNA from 1 species